rnacentral:tRNA from 1 species
AGAAAUAUAGUUUAAUUACAAUAUUUAUAUUGCAUAUGAAUGAUGAAAAAUUUUUUUUCUAUUUUUA